rnacentral:piRNA from 1 species
CUCCCAAGGGUGUGAAAUCAAGCUCUAGGG